AUGUCCCCAUUAUUCAAUCCCAAGCAUUUCCGGUGCCACUUCCGGAUGGCGAGGCAUGUGUUCUACCGUAUUCUGGAGGGAGUGAUGGCUUAUGAUGAUUAUUUCGUAUGCAAGGAGGAUGCCCUUGGAAAGGUUGGCUUCUCCUCUUAUGAGAAAUGCACUGCAACUAUUCGGAUGCUUGCAUUCGGAAUUCUCGGUGAUUUUAUUGAUGAGUAUGUCCGUAUAAGUGGGUCCACAUGCCUUGCGUCAUUGUACAAGUUCUGCAAGGUUGUGGUAGCAGUGUUUGGCCCGAGUACCUGA
rnacentral:rRNA from 1 species